rnacentral:tRNA from 51 species
UGGGGUAUAGCCAAGCGGUAAGGCAACGGAUUUUGAUUCCGUCAUGCCUAGGUUCGAAUCCUAGUACCCCAGCCA